UCAUCCCAGCAACUAAUAAAAAUGGUACAGUGCAUUAUAGUAAGGAGACCACAGAUAACAAUACAGAACAUGGAAUUUAUAUUUCUUGGAAACCUCAAAGCAAGUUCAGUCAAUAUGUUGUUGAUUGGUGCAACCACCCCACAGGUCAUGCGUGUGAUUUUCAAUGGAAGAAGUAUGAGCAAAACAAAUCCAGUGAUCUCAUUACAUCUGAUGCCUUCAGCCAUGGAGUAAGAUAUACUUUUAAUGUGUAUGGAAUACAAGAUGGUACAAGUUAUUUAUUGGAA